rnacentral:lncRNA from 1 species
AUUAACUCGUGGUCUCUUUCUCCUCCUUCCAUCAGGCGAUUAGGGUUAUUGUUCAAGAUCAUUGGUGAUCUGUAUCGUUCUGGCUUUGUUUGAUCUCUUACGAGAUCUGUUUUGUAUUGUUUGAUCUGUAUAGAUCAACUGAUUUACAUCAGUUGAUCUUUGUCUUUGUUGUAUUGUUUCAGAUCUCAUAGUUUAUGAGAUCUAGGGUUUCUGGGGGUAUUUUUCUGGGUUGUUGCCACACACAAAGUUAUAGAUGUGGAAGUAAUGGGUGCUAA